rnacentral:rRNA from 1 species
UACGGAGGAUGCGAGCGUUAUCCGGAUUUAUUGGGUUUAAAGGGUGCGUAGGCGGACGCUUAAGUCAGCGGUAAAAUUGCGGGGCUCAACCUCGUCGAGCCGUUGAAACUGGGUGCCUUGAGUGGGCGAGAAGUACGCGGAAUGCGUGGUGUAGCGGUGAAAUGCAUAGAUAUCACGCAGAACUCCGAUUGCGAAGGCAGCGUACCGGCGCCCAACUAACGCUGAAGCACGAAGGCGUGGGUAUCGAACAGG